rnacentral:rRNA from 1 species
CCUACGGGGGACAGCAGUGAGGAAUAUUGGUCAAUGGGCGAGAGCCUGAACCAGCCAAGUCGCGUGAGGGAAGACGGUCCUAUGGAUUGUAAACUUCUUUUAUAGGGGAAUAAAGGUAUCCACGUGUGGAUAUUUGCAUGUACCCUAUGAAUAAGCAUCGGCUAACUCCGUGCCAGCAGCCGCGGUAAUACGGAGGAUGCGAGCGUUAUCCGGAUUUAUUGGGUUUAAAGGGUGCGUAGGUUGUUUUUUAAGUCAGCGGUGAAAGUUUGUGGCUCAACCAUAAAAUUGCCGUUGAAACUGGAAGACUGGAGAGUGUUUGAGGUAGGCGGAAUGCGUGGUGUAGCGGUGAAAUGCAUAGAUAUCACGCAGAACUCCGAUUGCGAAGGCAGCUUACUAAGCCAUAACUGACACUGAAGCACGAAAGCGUGGGGAUCAAACAGGAUUAGAUACCCCAGUAGUC